rnacentral:tRNA from 1 species
AUGGCCGUCGUCUAGUCUGGUAUGAUGCUAGCCUGAGGCGCUAGUGGUCCCGGGUUCAAAUCCCGGCGGCCCCACCA